rnacentral:rRNA from 1 species
AACGAACGCUGGCGGCAGGCUUAACACAUGCAAGUCGAACGCCCCGCAAGGGGAGUGGCAGACGGGUGAGUAACGCGUGGGAACAUACCCUUUCCUGAGGAAUAGCUCUGGGAAACUGGAAUUAAUACCGCAUACGCCCUACGGGGGAAAGAUUUAUCGGGGAAGGAUUGGCCCGCGUUGGAUUAGCUAGUUGGUGGGGUAAAGGCCUACCAAGGCGACGAACCAUAGCUGGUCUGGGAGGAUGAUCAGCCACAUUGGGACUGAGACACGGCCCAAACUCCUACGGGAGGCAGCAGUGGGGAAUAUUGGACAAUGGGCGCAAGCCUGAUCCAGCCAUGCCGCGUGAGUGAUGAAGGCCUUAGGGUUGUAAAGCUCUUUCACCGAUGAAGAUAAUGACGGUAGUCGGAGAAGAAGCCCCGGCUAACUUCGUGCCAGCAGCCGCCGUAAAAC